AUUGAACGCUGGCGGCAUGCCUUACACAUGCAAGUCGAACGGUAACGGGCCUUCGGGUGCCGACGAGUGGCGCACGGGUGAGUAAUACAUCGGAACGUGCCCGAUCGUGGGGGAUAACGAGGCGAAAGCUUUGCUAAUACCCCAUACGAUCUACGGAUGAAAGCAGGGGACCGCAAGGCCUUGCGCGGACGGAGCGGCCGAUGGCCGAUUAGGUAGUUGGUGGGAUAAAAGCUUACCAAGCCGACGAUCUGUAGCUGGUCUGAGAGGAUGAUCAGCCACACUGGGACUGAGACACGGCCCAGACUCCUACGGGAGGCAGCAGUGGGGAAUUUUGGACAAUGGGUGCAAGCCUGAUCCAGCCAUGCCGCGUGAAGGAUGAAGGCCUUCGGGUUGUAAACUGCUUUUGUACGGAACGAAAAGCCUUCUUUUAAUACAGGAGGGUCAUGACGGUACCGUAAGAAUAAGCACCGGCUAACUACGUG
rnacentral:rRNA from 1 species